rnacentral:lncRNA from 1 species
UCCAAUCAGUUGUUUGAAAUAGAGGAACAGCACGAAUCUGUGGCAGCUUUUACUUCUAACAGUCAGGGUGCAAAGGGUGGACAGACGACUGGACUUGAGAGACACCAAUGCAAUAUAUCAACACCUGCUCAAUUAAAAAAUACAAAUAGACAACUACAGUCCAAACUUCAAAGUUCUACAACCAUAUCCAAUCAUACUUGGCCAAAGAGAAAGGACCUAGUCAGUAAAUCGAAACUGUAGAAAGACCAACGAGAUUACGAUGAUGAGGAGAGUUUUUGUGAAGGUUUUGCUGCUUAUUCAUCAGAAGAAGAUGAUCAAGAAUAUAGUGGAGAGGACAGCGAUGAUUCAGUCAAGCGAAAAUUUCAAAGGAACUGCUGCUUAUUCAUCGGAAGAAGAUGAUCAAGAAAAUAGUGGAGAGGACAGCGAUGAUUCAGUCAAGCGAAAAUUUCAAAGGAGAACUACAAAUAACAACUGUCAUGCAUCUUUGUAUCAAACACCAACUCAAAACAGUUUCUUAAACCAUAAUGCUCCACUUUUUGU